ACCAAACAGCUAGCCCCUUAAUCAAAAACAACACACCCCCCUAAAUAAACCCAAACACACUCAACAACCCUAAACAAACCAUUUUUCCUCCCUAGUACAGGCGAUAGAAAAGGACUAUGUGAGCAACAGAAAAAGUACCGCAAGGGAACGCUGAAAGAGAAAUGAAAUAACCCAGUAAAGUACAUAAAAGCAGAGAUUUAACCUCGUACCUUUUGCAUCAUGA
rnacentral:rRNA from 1 species